UACGUAGGGGGCUAGCGUUGUCCGGAAUCAUUGGGCGUAAAGAGCGUGUAGGCGGCUUGGUAAGUCCGCUGUGAAAGUCCAGGGCUCAACCCUGGAAUGCCAGUGGAUACUGUCAAGCUAGAGUCCGGAAGAGGCGAGUGGAAUUCCUGGUGUAGCGGUGAAAUGCGCAGAUAUCAGGAGGAACACCCAAUGGCGAAGGCAGCUCGCUGGGACGGUACUGACGCUGAGACGCGAAAGCGUGGGGAGCAAACAGG
rnacentral:rRNA from 1 species